rnacentral:lncRNA from 1 species
AUGCGUUAUUGUCCGGAUAGUUUUGCUUACGACUUCAGCACUUGGCUUAAAGAAUUUAAAAAAAAAAAUUUCUAUUUAAUAGUGCACAUAUAUAUAUAUGUUUAUAUGUGUUUAUAUGUGUUUAUAUGUGUUUAUAUGUGUUUAUAUGUGUUUAUAUGUGUUUAUAUGUGUUUAUAUAUGUUUGUAUGUGUUUGUAUGUGCUUAUAUGUGUUUAUAUAUGUUCAUAUAAGUUUAUAUGUGUUUAUAUGUGUUUAUAUAUGUUUGUAUGUGUUUGUGUAUGUGUUUAUAUGUGUUUAUAUAUGUUUGUAUGUGUUUGUAUGUAAGUAUGUGAAUGUAUUUGUAGUGCUCAUAUACAUAUACAAAUGCAUUUAAAAUUUUUUUUUUAUUUUUUUCGUCCUUUUAACAAACUUAA